UGCCAGCAGCCGCGGUAAUACGUAGGAUCCCCGCGUUAUCCGGAAUUAUUGGGUUUAAAGGGUUCGUAGGCGGGUCAAUAAGUCAGAGGUGAAAUCUUGCAGCUUAACUGUAAAAUUGCCUUUGAUACUGUUGACCUUGAAUUAUUGUGAAGUGGUUAGAAUAUGUAGUGUAGCGGUGAAAUGCUUAGAGAUUACAUAGAAUACCGAUUGCGAAGGCAGAUCACUAACAAUAUAUUGAAGCUGAUGAACGCAAGCGUUGGUCGCGAACGGGAUUAGAUA
rnacentral:rRNA from 1 species